rnacentral:misc_RNA from 1 species
AUCAAAUCCUACAAGAGCUAUUACGACCAAAAUGGCCAUGGUCAUUGGUAUAUCAAUGAACAUGACCAAAUAUGUACACCAAUAUUGUCCACAUGAAUUGCAAAUUACAAAUUUCACAAGGCCUAGAUAAAUUUUAGCCACAGUAUGAAGUUCUUCAGGAGGCCUUUUAACAUAAAACAAUCCUCUUCGGAUUUUGCACAUGGAAUUUGACUUGAAAAGAUCAUCUCAAUAUACUGGAAGGUCAGCAUCCUUCAAAAACUGCGAGCUUUAACCAAGAUGAUUUCAUAAUCCAGAAAACCUAAGUCUUACCUUCUGGAAUUCCACCUCCUGGAAGAUGAAUCUCCUUCCCUUGAAGCUGUUCCACUCUUCCGGCUUCUCUCUGCGAUUAAUGCACGCUCCCUUCCCUUCUCCUUCAGCUCUCGUUUCAGACGCUCGGCCCUCAAUUCUUCCAAGGUCUUUUUUCCUCCCUUUUUUACAUUUCCACUCCCUACUCUUGACAAUCCAUCAAUUUCGUCACUCUCGGCGUCAUCCUUGUCAGGCCUCUCAAGGUACCAUGGCAACUUGACUCCUUUUCCAGCAACACCAUAACCUAACUUAUACUUCUCAUCUUCAGGUGUGAUUACUCUUUUUUCCACUUCUUCCUUCUUCAUCCUCUUCUUAGACCCAUCUUCAACUCCCCCAUUUUCUGAACCUUUAACUGGGUCAAAAAUCUUGAUGCCUUCAAAUAGAUUUAUGUGACCAGGUUUCAGGUCUGUUUCUACUGGCUUUGCAGUGUCAAUUACUGGAGCUAAACCCCGUGCGGUACGAAGCUGCUCGAGACGAAACUCAGCAUCCCGUUUCCUAGCCUGCUCGCGUUUAAGCUGUUCUUCUUUGGCUGCAGCUUCUUCAUCUCGCCGCACUUUCUCUCUGUUCUCAUAGUUGUACACAUUCCAUCGCUUUUGGGGAAGAAUAUUUAAACCUCCAUGACCUCCCAUAAUCACCAACUCUAAGAAACUAAGAUUAUAAUUCACCUGCAGACUAAGCUCUAGUUCCGCUGAUGAUGAUGCAACAUACACUGGCGUAAGGCGGCGGUGAUGUCGGCCGGUGAAGUUGAGGUCGGCGGGCAGGGGGGAAGGGGAAAGGGAGCGCCGUG